rnacentral:rRNA from 1 species
AACGAACGCUGGCGGCAUGCCUAACACAUGCAAGUCGAACGAGACCUUCGGGUCUAGUGGCGCACGGGUGCGUAACGCGUGGGAACCUGCCUUUAGGUUCGGAAUAACUCAGAGAAAUUUGAGCUAAUACCGGAUGAUGUCUUCGGACCAAAGAUUUAUCGCCUUUAGAUGGGCCCGCGUUGGAUUAGCUGGUUGGGGGGGUAAAGGCCGACCAAGGCGACGAUCCAUAGCUGGUAGGGGAGGAUGAUACGCCACAAUGGGAAUACGACCCGGCCCAGACUCGUACGGGAGGCAGGAGUGGGGAAUAUUGGAGAAGGGGCGAAAGCCUGAUAAAGCAACGCGGCGGGAGUGAUGAAGGCCUUAGGGUUGUAAAGCCCUUUUACCCGAGAUGAUAAUGACAGUAUCGGGAGAAUAAGCACCGGCUAACUACGUG